CCGAGUUUUCAACUCCCAAACCCCUGUGAACAUACCAAUUGUUGCCUCGGCGGACCACGCCCCGGCGCCCCCGGGCCCGGACCCAGGCGCCCGCCGCAGGACCCCCAAACUCUUGUUUUCUUAUACGAAUCUUCUGAGUUAUACAAGCAAAUAAAUUA
rnacentral:misc_RNA from 1 species